rnacentral:rRNA from 1 species
GAUGAACGCUGGCGGCGUGCUUAACACAUGCAAGUCGAACGAUGAACCGGGUGCAUGCACUCGGGGAUUAGUGGCGAACGGGUGAGUAACGCGUGGGCAACUAGCCCCUGACUCUGGGAUAAGCGCUGGAAACGGCGGCUAAAACUGGAAAUGUCACGACACCGCAAGGCGACCGGGUCGAAAGAUGCUUCGGUUGGGGAUGGGCUCGCGGCCUGUCAGCUUGUUGGUGAGGUAAUGGUUCAGCAAGGCGUCGACGGGGAGCCGGCCUGAGAGGGUGAGCGGCCAGGCUGGGACUGAGACACGGCCCAGACUCCUACGGUAGGCAGCAGUGGGGAAUAGUGCACAAUGGGCGGAAGCCUGACGCAGCGACGCCGCGUGAGGGAUGACGGGAUUCGGGUUGUAAACCUCUUUUAGCAGGGAAGAAGCGAGAGUGACGGUACCUGCAGAAAAAGCACCGGCUAACUACGUGCCAGCCGCCGCGGUAA